CCUGCCCAAGAGAUCGGGAUAACACCUGGAAACAGAUGCUAAUACCGGAUAACAACAGAUGAUGCCUAUCAACUGUUUAAAAGAUGGUUCUGCUAUCACUCUUGGAUGGACCUGCGGUGCAUUAGCUAGUUGGUAGGGUAACGGCAUACCAAGGCGAUGAUGCAUAGCCGAGUUGAGAGACUGAUCGGCCACAUUGGGACUGAGACACGGCCCAAACUCCUACGGGAGGCAGCAGGC
rnacentral:rRNA from 1 species